rnacentral:ncRNA from 1 species
GUAGAGUAUUGUUGCAAGGCUGAAACUUAACGGAACUGACGGAAGGGCACCACAAGGAGUGGAGCCUGCGGCUUAAUGUGACUCAACACGGGAAACUUACGAUGUCCAGACAUAGUAAGGAUUGACAGACUGAGAGAUCUUUCUUGAUUCUAUGGGUGGUGGUGCAUGGUCAUUCUUAGUUGGUGGAGUGAUUUAUCUGGAUAAUUCCGUUAACAAACAAAACCUCAGCCUGCUAACUAGCUAUGCGGAGGAAUCCCUUCAUGGCCAGCUUCUUAGAUGGACUACGACCUUUUAGGCCAUGGAAGUUUGAGGCAAUAACAGGUUUUUGAUGCCCUUAGAUGUUCUGGGCCGCACACGUGCUACACUAAUGUAUUCAAUGAGUUUAUACCCUUGGCCGACAGGCCCUGGUAAUCUUUGAAAUUUCAUCGUGAUGGGGAUAGAUCAUUGCAAUUAUUGGUCUUCAACGAGGAAUUCCUAGUAAGCGCGAUUCAUCAGCUCGCGUUGACUACGUCCCUGCCCAUAGUACGCACCGCCCGUCUCUCCUACCGAUUGAAUGAACUGGUGAAAUAUUCGGGUUGCGGCGAUAUGGGCAUUUCACUGCCCGCAUCAUCGCAAAAAGUCCAUUAAACCUUAUCAUUUAGAGGAAGGAGAAUUCGUAACAAGGUUUCCGUAGGUGAACCUGUGAAAG